rnacentral:misc_RNA from 1 species
GAUGAAGAACGCAGCAAAAUGCGAUAAGUAAUGUGAAUUGCAGAAUUCAGUGAAUCAUAGAAUCUUUGAACGCACAUUGCGCCCGCUGGUAUUCCGGCGGGCAUGCCUGUUCGAGCGUCAUUUCAACCCUCAAGCCCCCGGGUUUGGUGUUGGGGAUCGGCUCUGCCCUUCUGGGCGGUGCCGCCCCCGAAAUACAUUGGCGGUCUCGCUGCAGCCUCCAUUGCGUAGUAGCUAACACCUCGCAACUGGAACGCGGCGCGGCCAUGCCGUAAAACCCCAACUUCUGAAUGUUGACCUCGGAUCAGGUAGGAAUACCCGCUGAACUUAAGCAUAUCAAUAAGCGGAGGA